rnacentral:rRNA from 1 species
AUUGAACGCUGGCGGCAGGCCUAACACAUGCAAGUCGAGCGAGCGGCGGACGGGUGCGUAAUGUAUGGGGACUGCCUGAUAGAGGGGGAUAACUAGUGGAAACGGUGGCUAAUACCGCAUACCAUCGGAUAACCCAGAUGGGAUUGGAUAGUAGGUUGGGUAAAGGCUCACCAAGGCGACGCUCUCUAGCUGGUCUGAGAGGAUGAUCGGCCACACUGGAACUGAAACGCUGCCCAUCCUCCUACGGAGUCAGCGUUGGGGAAGAUUGCACAAUGGGCUCAAGCCUGAUGCAGCAAUGCCGCGUGUAUGAAGAAGGCCUUCGGGUUGUAAAGUACUUUCAGUCGUGAGGCGUUACCGACAGAAGAAGCACCGGCUAACUCCGUGCCAGCCGCCGCGGUAAUUC